GCAAGUCGAGGGGUAUUUAUCUUCGGAUAGAGAGACCGGCGCACGGGUGCGUAACGCGUAUGCAAUCUACCUUUUACAGAGGGAUAGCCCAGAGAAAUUUGGAUUAAUACCUCAUAGUAUAUAGACUUGGCAUCAAGAUUAUAUUAAAGUCACAACGGUAAAAGAUGAGCAUGCGUCCCAUUAGCUAGUUGGUAAGGUAACGGCUUACCAAGGCUACGAUGGGUAGGGGUCCUGAGAGGGAGAUCCCCCACACUGGUACUGAGACACGGACCAGACUCCUACGGGAGGCAGCAGUGAGGAAUAUUGGACAAUGGGCGCAAGCCUGAUCCAGCCAUGCCGCGUGCAGGAUGACGGUCCUAUGGAUUGUAAACUGCUUUUAUACGAGAAGAAACACUACUUCGUGAAGUAGCUUGACGGUAUCGUAAGAAUAAGGAUCGGCUAACUCCGUGCCAGCAGCCGCGGUAAUACGGAGGAUCCAAGCGUUAUCCGGAAUCAUUGGGUUUAAAGGGUCCGUAGGCGGUUUAAUAAGUCAGUGGUGAAAGCCCAUCGCUCAACGGUGGAACGGCCAUUGAUACUGUUAGACUUGAAUUAUUAGGAAGUAACUAGAAUAUGUAGUGUAGCGGUGAAAUGCUUAGAGAUUACAUGGAAUACCAAUUGCGAAGGCAGGUUACUACUAAUUGAUUGACGCUGAUGGACGAAAGCGUGGGUAGCGAACAGGAUUAGAUACCCUGGUAGUCCACGCCGUAAACGAUGGAUACUAGCUGUUGGGAGCAAUCUCAGUGGCUAAGCGAAAGUGAUA
rnacentral:rRNA from 1 species